UCUGUUUGGUUUUCAAUCUAUCUAGUGAUUUUAUUGUUACGCUGUGUAACGUUUCGCGAUGGAAGGUUGUACUACUUGUAUAACCUCGUACUUGGAUGCUGAAAAUUCUAUAACACUAUAUAAGGUCAUUGUCAUGGACCAUGGCCAAGGUCAUGUAUGCUUUCACUUUCUAUAUUAUUGAGAGGAGAUGCAUUUCUUUCCCCCACACUUAAAGUACAGAUCUCCUACCACAAUUUUUAUAGAAUUUCCUGUCUUGCGGGUCCGCAGAGACGUGUACACAUUCACUUAUAAUAGAUCUAUUGGUUCGCUAUUUGUUCUCAACACUGCAGUCCUUUCCAAAACUGGUCUAAAUUCUUAAAUAUAUAAUACCUUCAGCUUAUGUUCAGAAACACCACUCGCAUAAUUAUUCUUGUCUACCCCUAAAUACUCUACUAUAGAUAAAAGUCGAGCGGCACCCGUACACAUCAAGCGAUUUUGACAUAGCUUUCGAACAUUUGCUAAAUUGGAGCACCCAAAAUUAAACAGUCACAUACAAACUACAAAUAACUAUGUCCACAGUUUUACACCAGAGUAAAAUAAAAACGUUCAAAUCCAUUGAAACACGCUGGUUUAAUUUUUAGCGUUUUGGACGCGGCUGUACCUAAAAUGAAGCAAUGCAUUUUCCACGUAAUUAUUCACACUGGGAGUUUGCGACGUCGCGUUUCACUAUUUAUUCAGUUAAUUUAUUCUAAUUAUUAAUGAAUUAUUAUUACGCAUAUUGUGCAUAUAAUAUUUCAGUUUUAAUACAAUUAUAUUUUUCUUAAAAAAAAAAAAAUAAUAAAAACACUUGUUGUAUACACAAAAAGUUUGACAUAGAACUUUUUUUAUUAGGAUUUAGAAGUGUACAAAGAAGAAAGUAUUUGGAUGGGACAUAAUUAAGUGUUUUAUACAUAAUAAUUAUACAAUAACCAAUAAAAAAAAGUGGUUAGGUGAUUGCCGAUUUGCUGUACCCUGUACGGUGUAUAGGUAUCAAGUGGGUCGCUGUGAUGGAUGUGUUUAAUUUAAAUUCAAUGAAACAUAUUAUAACAUCAUUGUAUACGAAAAACGAUUCUGAGCAAAGACGAUCUGCGAGCCUAUGAAUUAAUUUUAGCUAUUUCAGUUUAUAUUGUUAUUAGACAAAAUAAUUUAUUUUACUAUUAGUUUGCCUGCAGGUUUUAAGAGAUAAUAUAAUAUAAUAUAUGUUAAACAACUGCAGCGGAGUGCCCUGCGAAUCAUUACAACAGCUGCCAACUAUAUAUACCAUGAUAUGGAGAAAUAGAAAUCCUGUUCCGAAUGGCAUAGCAAAAAUCAAAAACGGAAAUAGCACAACAUAAUUUGAUUUGAAAAUACAAAAGAACUUUAUGUAAGAGAUGGUUAUAGACAAUUGACUGAAAUUAUCGUAAAUUAUAUAAUGAUAUAUAUUGGUAUUAGUUACAUAGUACGCACACAUAAUAUUUACAUAGAAAUAUAUUUUUUUAUUAAUACAUGUUAAGUAUAUAUUUUUGUAGAAAUUACAGAAAGAAUUUGAACUAGAAUCGGUGUUGAAAAACAAAUUGAGUCUUUAAAUCUGUCUUAAAGCAACCCCGUUGUUGCUCAAAGACUAAAGGUAGAGAGAUUAAUUGAAGAUAUGAAUAACACACAAUUAUUUAACCAUACUUAAACGAAAUGCAAUUGUGUAUUUGCUUUUUUAUAUAUAUUAUAGUAAUUAUCACUAUGAAGUAAUAUGACUGUAUCAUAUAUAACAAGAAACGUUUGAGUCAUCAUUUAAAUUUCAAAGUAAGUAAUAAUGCUAUGAAACAAUAACACAGUCAAUAUUAUAUUAUGAUAUUUAUUUAUGGUUAUGGUUUAUAUUAAAAAAAAAUGAUAAAUUAUUCCAUUAAGAUCGGGUUUGGAAGUAAUUAUAAGUUUAUAAUUUAUGUAUAGUCAUUAAACAUCUAGGUAUGUCUAUCCACAUUUAUUUUCUGGUUUAGUAUUAAUAAACAAAGACAUUAUCAA